rnacentral:rRNA from 3 species
ACGGGUGAGUAAUAUAUCGGAACGUGCCCAGUCGUGGGGGAUAACUGUUCGAAAGAACAGCUAAUACCGCAUACGACCUGAGGGUGAAAGCGGGGGAUCGCAAGACCUCGCGCGAUUGGAGCGGCCGAUAUCAGAUUAGGUAGUUGGUGGGGUAAAAGCCCACCAAGCCAACGAUCUGUAGCUGGUCUGAGAGGACGACCAGCCACACUGGGACUGAGACACGGCCCAGACUCCUACGGGAGGCAGCAGUGGGGAAUUUUGGACAAUGGGCGCAAGCCUGAUCCAGCCAUGCCGCGUGCGGGAAGAAGGCCUUCGGGUUGUAAACCGCUUUUGUCAGGGAAGAAAAGGUUCUGGUUAAUACCUGGGACUCAUGACGGUACCUGAAGAAUAAGCACCGGCUAACUACGUGCCAGCAGCCGCGGUAAUACGUAGGGUGCAAGCGUUAAUCGGAAUUACUGGGCGUAAAGCGUGCGCAGGCGGUUAUGCAAGACAGAGGUGAAAUCCCCGGGCUCAACCUGGGAACUGCCUUUGUGACUGCAUAGCUAGAGUACGGUAGAGGGGGAUGGAAUUCCGCGUGUAGCAGUGAAAUGC